rnacentral:misc_RNA from 1 species
AAGUCGUACCAAGGUGUAUCCAAACGUUAAAACCCCCCCCCGUGAACCUUCAUCCUGCUCUUGUAACCCGCGUAGUUCGCAAUCUCUGAUAAAUCAUAGCCCGGAAAGUUGUAGUGAUUCAGAGACCUCUGGCUACGUGCGAACAUUGGAACAGUUACAAUCGAGCAGUAGUUCUAUAGGCAAUGUUUCUCCAAGCAGUCAGUGUAAAGUGUCAUUGAUUGUGCAAGGAUAGCGCUUCUACGAUUCCUGUAGACCGUACACUCAAUGUGAAGCUCAAUGUAAUACAUUGGUAAAAAAACCGAACAACUGUUAACAAUGGAUAUCUUGGUUCUC